AUUGAACGCUGGCGGCAUGCUUUACACAUGCAAGUCGGACGGCAGCACAGAGAAGCUUGCUUCUUGGGUGGCGAGUGGCGCACGGGUGAGUCACAUAUCGGAACGUACCGAGCAGUGGGGGAUAACUAAUCGAAAGAUUAGCUAAUACCGCAUAUUUUCUGAGGAAGAAAGCAGGGGACCUUUGGGCCUUGCGCUGUUUGAGCGGCCGAUAUCUGAUUAGCUAGUUGGUGGGGUAAAGGCCUACCAAGGCGACGAUCAGUAGCGGGUCUGAGAGGAUGAUCCGCCACACUGGGACUGAGACACGGCCCAGACUCCUACGGGAGGCAGCAGUGGGGAAUUUUGGACAAUGGGCGCAAGCCUGAUCCAGCCAUGCCGCGUGUCUGAAGAAGGCCUUCGGGUUGUAAAGGACUUUUGUCAGGGAAGAAAAGGGCGGGGUUAAUACCCCUGUCUGAUGACGGUACCUGAAGAAUAAGCACCGGCUAACUACGUG
rnacentral:rRNA from 1 species